GGUCGCAGGUUCGAAUCCUGCACGACCCACCAAUAUACAAGGUGGUAACUGGUAGAGAACGUGAAGGAUAAUGUUGCUUUAGCAACGGCCCGAAGGGCGAGGCGAAGCCGAGUCAUCCUGCACGACCCACCA
rnacentral:sRNA from 2 species